rnacentral:rRNA from 1 species
ACGGGGAGAUUCAUCGUUCUCCGUCGGGUCCGCGGAGGGGCGCUGACGUCGCGCAUUCGUGCGCGGCGCUCGUCUUUUCGUGCURCCCGCGGAGUGCGUGCACUCMUCCCUCAGUAAAACACCGCGACCCGUUGCGCGCGGGUCGAACGCGCCGUGCGAUCGUCCCGCYUCGACUCGUMGARGAGGAAUCGCGRCGWCGCGGCUCGCGUGCGACGGUAAAGAACGAGGUUCGCGUCCGCCAUUUUGGGCRUCCGCGGWGCGGCGGCGGUGGUCCUMGGU